GAUGAAGAACGCAGCGAAAUGCGAUAAGUUGUGUGAAUUGCAGAAUUCAGUGAAUCAUCGAAUCUUUGAACGCACAUUGCGCCCCUUGGUAUCCCGAGGGGCAUGCCUGUUCGAGCGUCAUUUCACCACUCAAGCCUGGCUUGGUGUUGGGCGACGUCCUCUUUGGGGACGCGCCUCGAAACGCUCGGCGGCGUGGCACCGGCUUUAAGCGUAGCAGAAUCUUUCGCUUUGGAAGUCGGGGCCCCGUCUGCCGGAAGACCUGCUCGCAAGGUUGACCUCGGAUCAGGCAGGGAUACCCGCUGAACUUAAGCAUAUCAAUAAGCGGAGGA
rnacentral:misc_RNA from 1 species